rnacentral:misc_RNA from 1 species
GUAGGUGAACCUGCGGAAGGAUCAUUACAGUAUGGAGAUCAAAGGGGGUUGGAUGCUGGCCCGCGAGGGCACGUGCGCGCCUCCGUUUUUCUUACACGCACACCCGUGCACCCAUUGGCGGCGGGGGACCGCCGCCUCUUUUAAUCUCAGCCUGUCAGAACGCAUGUGUCUAACGAUUCUAACGAAUACAACUUUCGACAACGGAUCUCUUGGCUUUU